UCUGACACAGGUGCUGCAUGGCUGUCGUCAGGCUCGUGUCGUGAGAUGUUGGGUUAAGUCCCGUAACGAGCGCAACCCUUGUCCUUAGUUACCAGCACGUUAUGGUGGGCACUCUAAGGAGACUGCCGGUGACAAACCGGAGGAAGGUGGGGAUGACGUCAAGUCAUCAUGGCCCUUACGGCCUGGGCUACACACGUGCUACAAUGGUCGGUACAAAGGGUUGCCAAGCCGCGAGGUGGAGCUAAUCCCAUAAAACCGAUCGUAGUCCGGAUCGCAGUCUGCAACUCGACUGCGUGAAGUCGGAAUCGCUAGUAAUCGUGAAUCAGAAUGUCACGGUGAAUACGUUCCCGGGCCUU
rnacentral:rRNA from 1 species